UAUUAUAAAUUUCAUCCAUUUAUACUAUUAAAAACUAGCGUGGCUAAUGGAAUAAUUAGACAGUGACACUUAGCGUGCAACAUGUACCUCAGACUAACAUAUAAGGACUAGUUUUUAACUGUAAAAAUUUAGAAUUUUUAACA
rfam:Gossypium raimondii Chr01_contig_86, whole genome shotgun sequence.